rnacentral:tRNA from 1 species
UAGCUCAGUGGUAGAGUGUGUGCUUAGCAUACACGAGGUCCUGGGUUCAAUCCCCAG